CCCAGACGCGCGGGCCGCGCGCACGGCUCCAGCAUCUGCGCAGAGACCCAGGGUGGGGUGGCCGCCGGCCAGGAUGAGCCCGGGGUGCGGGGCUGCUUCCGAGAAAGCUUUGAGCGGAGGCAGGGGGACUCCAGCAGGGACGUCGACAUGAAGAGAAAGGUGGACGCGAGCUCGGUCAUUCAAAGUCUCUCCCACCCCGCCGCCGCCGCCAGCCCCCAGCGGGGGACAGAAAGAGAAGGAGAAAGGAGAGGGAAGAAAGUAGUUGCGCCGGGCUCUCUCGGGGGCCUCGCGCGGAGCUGCUACGGUGGGGAGAGGAGCGUUCAACUCUGAGUCCCGUGAACAGAAUCUGCGCGGUUAUAACCAGCCAACCCGGCCAGAUGGCUCCGCGCUCAGCGCCUUAACCCCUUCGGCGCCGCGCCGCCCGCCCCCGCGCCCGGCCGGCCGCGCAAGCCUGCGCCCCAGCGCCCCUCCGGCUGGGGCCGGGGGCCACUGGGGGCACCGGGUCAUUUCCCCUGUCCUUUCUUAAAUAAAAAUAUCCCCAACCUCCAA